rnacentral:rRNA from 1 species
UACAGAGGGUGCAAGCGUUAAUCGGAAUUACUGGGCGUAAAGCGCGCGUAGGUGGUUCGUUAAGUUGGAUGUGAAAUCCCCGGGCUCAACCUGGGAACUGCAUUCAAAACUGACGAGCUAGAGUAUGGUAGAGGGUGGUGGAAUUUCCUGUGUAGCGGUGAAAUGCGUAGAUAUAGGAAGGAACACCAGUGGCGAAGGCGACCACCUGGACUGAUACUGACACUGAGGUGCGAAAGCGUGUGGAGCAAACAGG